CCUACGGGGGGCUGCAGUGGGGAAUAUUGGACAAUGGGGGGAACCCUGAUCCAGCCAUGCCGCGUGUGUGAAGAAGGCCCUCGGGUUGUAAAGCACUUUCAGUGAGGAAGAACGCCUGGUGGUUAAUACCCAUCAGGAAAGACAUCACUCACAGAAGAAGCACCGGCUAACUCCGUGCCAGCAGCCGCGGGAAUACGGAGGGUGCGAGCGUUAAUCGGAAUUACUGGGCGUAAAGCGCGCGUAGGUGGCUUGAUAAGCCGGUUGUGAAAGCCCCGGGCUCAACCUGGGAACGGCAUCCGGAACUGUCAAGCUAGAGUGCAGGAGAGGAAGGUAGAAUUCCCGGUGUAGCGGUGAAAUGCGUAGAGAUCGGGAGGAAUACCAGUGGCGAAGGCGGCCUUCUGGACUGACACUGACACUGAGGUGCGAAAGCGUGGGUAGCAAACAGGAUUAGAUACCCCAGUAGUC
rnacentral:rRNA from 1 species